UUGUCUGCUUCCCUUUUAGACUGGCCUCCGAGGACAAGGGCUGUGCUUUCUCUCUUGCUCUCUCUUUUUUUUUUCCCCCCCAGUGCUGGGGAUCAAACAUAGGGCCUAGCACAUGCUAAACAAGUGUUCUUCCACCUAGCUACACCCCCAGUAGCACUCUCUCUGUUGUUCUUGAGUGCAACAUCAGGGCAUGUCACAGUGCCAUGGAGAAGGUGCUCCAUAAUUAUAUAUUGAUUAAGUGAAUAGCAGCAUUGCAUUUAGGAGAUGGGAGGGAAGAUUGAAGUCGUGAAAGUCCUCUUAGGGGAUUAUCAUAUUUACUGAAAUAUGAGAAACAACACUUCUUCCACCAAAGUGGCUUGCAUACAAAUUAAGUGUGCAAAUAUACACAUGUGCAUGCAUGCACACUCACAUACACACACUCACACACACAAACAUUCCUGUGCACACCCUGAUGAGGGUGUUCACUUGUGCAACCCACUCUCUCUUACUCGGAAGCCAGAUGUGGUGGUGCACACCUAUAAUCCCAGUAACUCAGGGGGCUGAGGCAGGAGGAUCAGAAGUUCAAGGGCAGCCUCAGCAACUAAGCAAGACCCUGUUUCAAAAUAAAAAAGGACUGGGGGAGGCGGC
rnacentral:lncRNA from 1 species